rnacentral:rRNA from 1 species
GCUAAGGAAACAAGGGCACAAAAGACAAGGGUAAGGGCUGGGCCAUGCUGCACACAGAAGUAAAACUAUACAGGGUAAACAGGGCCCACCUGACAGAGCAAAGUACAGAAGAAAAAGACCCUUCCGUAGGUGAACCUGCGGAAGGAUCAUUAUCUU